UACCAGCUCUCCGAGUGGUAGGGAUGUUUAUUGGGCUUAAAGCGUCCGUAGCCGGCUUAGCAAGUCUCCUGUUAAAUUCAGCGACCUAAUCGUUGAGCCGCGGGAGAUACUACUAGGCUAGGAGGCGGGAGAGGUCAACGGUACUUCCGGGGUAGGGGUGAAAUCCUAUAAUCCCGGGAGGACCACCAGUGGCGAAGGCUGUUGACUAGAACGCGCUCGACGGUGAGGGACGAAAGCUGGGGGAGCGAACCGGAUUAGAUACCCGGGUAGUCCCAGCUGUAAACGAUGCGAGCUAGGUGUUGGGGUGGCUACGUGCCACUUCAGUGCCGCAGGGAAGCCAUUAAGCUCGCCGCCUGGGGAGUACGGCCGCAAGGCUGAAACUUAAAGGAAUUGGCGGGGAGCACCACAAGGCGUGAAGCUUGCGGUUC
rnacentral:rRNA from 1 species